GGCUGAAGUCUAAAAAAAAAAAAGAAGAGCUUUUAUCUUUGCAGAAUUCAGAGUCCCUUCAACAAUGACGAUAGCUUUGUCGCCUGCAACUCCAGUACGUUUGCUAUGCCAACAGCAACUCACCCGCAAGCCUGUUCUCUUUUGCUUUCAAGAUAAAUUACCUACUUCUGGUAAUGUGGUAUGUUGGUCGGCGUCUGCGAAUUACUCGAGCCUAUGGGUUGGAGCAAGGAGAUUGCAGCCUCUUGUUAAACCAUCUUGGGGAAAGAGAAGUGGAAUUGUGAGGUGUGCAACAAUUGAAGAAAUAGAAGCUGAAAAAUCUUCGAUUGAGAAAGAUGUGAAAGAAAGGAUGGAAAAGACAGUUGAAACUGUUAGGUCAAAUUUCAACUCUAUAAGGACAGGAAGAGCUAGCCCAGCAAUGCUAGAUAAAAUUGAGGUUGAUUAUUAUGGCACUCCAGUCAGCUUGAAAAGCAUAGCACAAAUUAGCACUCCUGAUGCAACUUCUAUCUUGGUGCAGCCGUAUGACAAAUCCAGUUUAAAGGCUAUAGAGAAGGCUAUUGUCAGCUCCGAUGU
rnacentral:misc_RNA from 1 species